UCUUCUCCAUCGUUUGUGGACUUUUCUUGCACAUUCAUAGCAUCUCAAUCAUGGACCGACUACUCCAGUAUGGCAACGGGCAGCGCCAUCGGAUCUAGCUGCUCCUGUCAUGUCAUCCAGUCGGAGAGGCAUAGUAAUAAUUAUCAAUAUAAAAGUGAGCUUCUGUAAACUGAUAAGACACGUCCAUGUGAGUAUAUACUCUUUCCUUGGCAGUGAGAAGGGAACAUGGGACGGUUCUGUUCUAUAGAAGUAGAGGCCUUGUCCUAUGUCCUACAUCCUAUAUAUCCCCCAAAUAGUAGUUGUCCUAUGUCCUAUGUCCUAUCCCCACAC
rnacentral:lncRNA from 1 species